CCAAAGAUCAGGAAUAGGAGUAUAUCGAACUCCUAAUACUGCCCGAGGUAGCCUGUUGAUAGCAGAUAUCGUCAAGGAUUAUAGUUGGCUUUACUACUCCAAAAACUGUAGGUUUACUGCCUUUGUGUACUUUUAUUCUUUAUGGGCCCACGAGUCACUAUAAAGUAAAUUUCAUAUCCCGGUUAUCUGUA
rnacentral:sRNA from 1 species